CAUUCGGAGCCCCUGGCUGCUCUGUGGCUCCACAUGAAGACACUUGGGAGGGACAGAGGCUACCCUGACCCCUGUCCGUGACCCAGUCCCCUGUCUCCCUGCAGCUGGCAGAGAACAUCCAGACCCUCUUUGGGUCAAAGCUGCAGCAGGCCCAGCAAAAUAUAGUUCAGAACCACACGGCCCCCAUGCUGGAGCUGGACACCAGCCUCCUGAACCAGACCACAAACCAGACCCUCAAGCUGACUGACAUGGAGGCUCAGGUCCUGAACCAGAUGUCACACAUGGAGCGCCAGAUGCUGAACACUUCGCUGACCACUGACAAGCUGGAGAAGCAGCUGCAGAAGCAGAGAGGCACACUGGACCUGCUGCAUGGCCACAACAGGUGGGUGCUAGCACCUGGUCCUGGUGGGACAGGAGCUGAGCCAGGACUCAAGCUUGGGACCCAGGCCGGAGCUGAGGCUGUGGCUGUGGUGGCAGCUGGACCCAGGUCAGUAUGUGGGAUGGGACCAGGGC
rnacentral:lncRNA from 1 species